AACGAACGCUGGCGGCAUGCCUAACACAUGCAAGUCGAACGAGACCUUCGGGUCUAGUGGCGCACGGGUGCGUAACGCGUGGGAACCUGCCCUUAGGUUCGGAAUAACUCCCCGAAAGGGGUGCUAAUACCGGAUAAUGUCUUCGGACCAAAGAUUUAUCGCCUUUGGAUGGGCCCGCGUUGGAUUAGCUAGUUGGUAGGGUAAAAGCCUACCAAGGCGACGAUCCAUAGCUGGUCUGAGAGGAUGAUCAGCCACACUGGGACUGAGACACGGCCCAGACUCCUACGGGGGGCAGCAGGGGGAAAUUUUGGAAAAGGGGCGAAAGCCUGAACCAGCAAUGCCGGGGGGGUGAUGAAGGCCUUAGGGUUGUAAAGCUCUUUUACCCGGGAUGAUAAUGACAGGACCGGGAAAAAAAGCCCCGGCCAACCCCGG
rnacentral:rRNA from 1 species